UUGUAUUUUCCUGUAGUAUGUUGUUAAAAAGCCGUGUAACACGUUACAACCGAAAAUUUGGCAACAGAACGUAGUUAUUUUCAGCCACGGACAUAUUUGACAGCAAUGCUGCUUUUCAGCUUCACGUUUAAUCAACUACACUGUGGCGGGACCUCGAGUUGGGAUGCGGGGUUCCGCACGGACUCUUUUUGUUGUUGCUUUUCCGGAGUGGGCAGUUCACAGAGUUCCCGCCGUUCUGCGUGGAGUGUUUUGAUGUCUGCCAAUAAAACAAGUUUUGUUCCUGUGACCGACGCUGCGCCUCGGACUCCUUUUCUCCGGCGCUACAAUUUUUAAUGUUUAUGUCCGUUGACCUUGAGAGAAAGAAAGGCUGACACCCGCUGGCCAGAGUAAAGUUGCGCAGCGUGUCAGAAGACUGUUCGCGCUCCUCACGUCGACGCCUGCCACUGUCGAGACCAACUGGUCAACGUGUGAACGAGCACAAGUCAAGAUAAGGUUCGGUCUCUGCUACUGGUGUCCGGAUGCGGGACGUGGAUCAAAGCACUCGAGGCGAUGAACGGCAUCGGAGCGCGUGGACCCCGCUGUUGUGUUCCCUUUCCCCGUGAACAAGAGGAGCGCCAGUGGGACCUCCACUGGUGGCGUGAGCACAUCCACGAGCCAUGAGAGCGCCUACAGUUACUCCGGUAAGACUA